rnacentral:tRNA from 1 species
GGCGUCGUGGCCGAGUGGUUAAGGCGGACAGACCUUGAAAUCUGUUGGGCUCUGCCCGCACAAGUUCGAAUCUUGUCGGCGACG